rnacentral:misc_RNA from 1 species
AACAAGGCGUACCUGCGGACCUGCGGAAGGAUCAUUAAUUAUUUCUGGGUCUAUUAAACUAUUCCCAGUUUUAUUACCUUUUACUGUGAAUUGUUAUAUAACUAUAUGACGCUUUUUUGAGGGAUGUCCAGGUGGCCAUAUUGGGUAGGUAUCUGGAAUGUUAACUUAGUCAUAGUCAAGCUUAGGCUUGGUACCCUAUUUAUUAUUAUUAUUUACCAAAAGAAUUCAGAAUUUUAAAUU